AUCCUGUUGCUUAACAGCAGGAAUUCUGAGGAUACUGUCAGACUUGAAGUCGAGAGAGGUCGGAGGUACUCCUGGGGUAGCGGUGAAAUGUUAUAAUCCUGGGGGGGCCACCAGUGGCGAAAGCGUCCGACCAGAGCGAGCUUGACGGUAAGGGACGAAAGCCAGGGGAGCGAACGGGAUUAGAUACCCCGGUAGUCCUGGCCGUAAACGCUGUGGGCUAGGUGUUGCAUGCUCUACGAGGGCGUGCAGUGCCGAAGAGAAGUUGAUAAGCCUACCGCCUGGGAAGUACUAUCGCAAGAUAGAAACUUAAAGGAAUUGGCGGGGGAGCACCACAAGGGGUGAAGUCUGCGGUUCAAUUGGAUUCAACGCCGGACAUCUCACUGGAAGCGACGGCAGGAUGACAGCCAAGCUGAUGACUUUGCUUGACGAGCCGAGAGGAGGUGCAUGGCCGUCGUCAGCUCGUACCGUAAGGCGUCCUGUUAAGUCAGGCAACGAGCGAGACCCGUACCCUUAGUUGUCAGUUAGUUCCUGCGGGAACUGAGACCCAUUAAGGGGACCGCUGCUGAUAAAGCAGAGGAAGGAGCGAGCAACGAUAGGUCAGUAUGCCCCGAA
rnacentral:rRNA from 1 species